rnacentral:rRNA from 1 species
GAUGAACGCUGGCGGCGUGCCUAAUACAUGCAAGUCGAGCGAACAGACGAGGAGCUUGCUCCUCUGACGUUAGCGGCGGACGGGUGAGUAACACGUGGAUAACCUACCUAUAAGACUGGGAUAACUUCGGGAAACCGGAGCUAAUACCGGAUAACAUGCUGAACCGCAUGGUUCAACAGUGAAAGACGGUCUUUCUGUCACUUAUAGAUGGAUCCGCGCCGCAUUAGCUAGUUGGUAAGGUAACGGCUUACCAAGGCAACGAUGCGUAGCCGACCUGUGAGGGUGAUCGGCCACACUGGAACUGAGACACGGUCCAGACUCCUACGAGAGGCAGCAGUAGGGAAUCGUCCGCAAUGGGCGAAAUCCUGACGGAGCAACGCCGCGUGAGUGAAGAAGGUCUUCGGAUCGUAAAACUCUGUUAUUAGGGAUGAACAAAUGUGUAAGUAACUAUGCACGUCUUGACGGUACCUAAUCAGAAAGCCACGGCUAACUACGUG